GCCCGGCUAGCUCAAUCGGUAGAGCGUGAGACUCUUAAGGAGUUUUCCGUAAUCUCAAGGUUGUGGGUUCGACCCCACGUCGGGCU
rnacentral:tRNA from 1 species